GACGGAGGAUGCAAGUGUUAUCCGGAAUCACUGGGCGUAAAGCGUCUGUAGGUUGUUCAAUAAGUCAACUGUUAAAUCUUGAGGCUCAACUUCAAAAUCGCAGUCGAAACUAUUAAACUAGAGUAUAGUAGGGGUAAAGGGAAUUUCCGGUGGAGCGGUGAAAUGCGUAGAGAUCGGAAAGAACACCAACGGCGAAAGCACUCUGCUGGGCCGACACUGACACUGAGAGACGAAAGCUAGGGGAGCGAAUGGG
rnacentral:rRNA from 1 species